CAGUCGCCGCGGUAAUACGGAGGAUCCAAGCGUUAUCCGGAUUUAUUGGGUUUAAAGGGUGCGUAGGCGGCUUAUUAAGUCAGGGGUGAAAGGCGGUAGCUUAACUAUCGGAGUGCCCUUGAUACUGAUGAGCUUGAAUGCAGCUGAGGUAGGCGGAAUGUGACAAGUAGCGGUGAAAUGCAUAGAUAUGUCACAGAACACCGAUUGCGAAGGCAGCUUACUAAAGUGCGAUUGACGCUGAGGCACGGAAGCGUGGGGAUCAAACAGGAUUAGAUACCCCGGUAGUCCCUGUCUCUUAUAC
rnacentral:rRNA from 1 species